AACGAACGCUGGCGGCAUGCUUAACACAUGCAAGUCGAACGAGACCUUCGUGUCUUGUGGCGCACGUGUGCGUAACGCGUGGGAACCUGCCCUUAGGUUCGCAAUAACUCACCGUAAGGGGUGUUAAUACCGGUUAAUCUCUUCGGACCUAAGAUUUCUUGCUUUUGGAUGGGCCCGCGUUGGAUUCGCUAGUUGGUAGUGUAAAAGCCUAUCAAGGCGACGAUCCUUAGCUGGUCUGAGAAGAUGAUCAACCCCGAUGGAACUGAGACACGGCCCAGACUGCGACGGGAGACAGCAGUGGGGAAUAUUAGACAAGGGACGAAAGCGUAGUCCAGCAAUGCCGCGUGAGAGAGGAAGGCCUUAGUAUUGUAAAGCUCUUUUUCCCGAGAUGAUAGUGACAGUACCGGGAAAAGAAGCUCCGGCUAACUCCGUG
rnacentral:rRNA from 1 species